UAGGGAAUCUUCGGCAAUGGACGAAAGUCUGACCGAGCAACGCCGCGCGCGUGAAGAAGGUUUUCGGAUCGUAAAACUCUGUUGUUAGAGAAGAACAAUGACGUUAGUAACUGAACGUCCCCUGACGGUAUCUAACCAGAAAGCCACGGCUAACUACGUGCCAGCAGCCGCGGUAAUACGUAGGUGGCAAGCUUUGUCCGGAUUUAUUGGGCGUAUAGCGAGCGCAGGCGGUUUCUUAAGUCUGAUGUGAAAGCCCCCGGCUCAACCGGGGAGGGUCAUUGGAAACUGGGAGACUUGAGUGCAGAAGAGGAGAGUGGAAUUCCAUGUGUAGCGGUGAAAUGCGUAGAUAUAAGGAGGAACACCAGUGGCGAGAGCGGCUCUCUGAUCUGUAACGGACGCUGAGGCUCGAAAGCGUGGGGAGCAAACAGG
rnacentral:rRNA from 1 species